GAUCUAGGUGAGGGACAGAUGGCCCCUGUUCACACAGUGUGCUGUGGGAGGUCAGGAACCCUGGGCAUGACCUUUGCACCGAGACAGGGUGAUUAUUACACUUACUGCAACCCCAACUGCCCUCUGCUGCAGGGUGAGGAGCUGUCUCCAUCCUGCGAGAUGUCCACAAAAAAACACCCUUAAGAGUAUCGUCUGGAGGCUUGGCGCCUGUGGCUCAAGUGACUAAGGCACUGGCGACAUACACCUGAGCUGGCAGCACGAGGACAAGGGUGUCACCAGUAUUAGCACCUGGUGGUCUGUAUCAGCACUGGCCCCAGCACCAGCAGUUGGCGGCCACAGUAAGGAGGCACUUCCUGAAAUGGAGCAAAAAACCAGCUUACAGGUGGAGGAGAAAGGUCCAGACCCAGUAAAGCCAUGGCUCCAAGUGCAGUGGCCUCUGAAAGCUGACCACCCAAGGCACUACAACAAGCUGAUCAAGAUUCAGAGGUGGUCACCACCAAGGCUCUGCUGCACUCACUGUGCCCCACAUGGGAGCAACCUGGCAACAAAGACUGCGGGGGAGACAUGGAUUAGCCCAGCAUGGGCAGGAAGCAGCAUCCCAUCAAAUCAGGAAGAAAAGCACAUUAUUAAAGCCAGUGCUGGCUGGGCGGUGCCUGUGGCUCAGUGAGUAGGGCGCAGGUCCCAUAUAGUGAGGGUGGAGGGUUCGAACCUGGCCCCAGACAAACUGCAACAAAAAAUAGCCGGGCGUUGUGGCAGGCGCCUGUAGUCCCAGCUACUCGGGAGGCUGAGGCAAGAAAACGGCUAAGCCCGAGAGCUGGAGGUUGCUAUGAGCUGUAAUGCCAUGGCACUCUAUCAAGGGUGACAAAGUGAGACUGUGUCUCUAAAAAACAAACAGGGUGGCGCCUGUGGCUCAACAGAGUAAGGCGCUGGCCCCAUAUGCUGGAGGUGGCGGGUUCAAACCCAGCCCUGGCCAAAAACUGCAAAAAAACAAACAAACAAACAAAAAACAGUGCUGGCUAGCACCUAUAUCUCAGCGGCUAGCGUGCCAGCCACAUACACCAGAGCUGGCAGGUUUGAAUCCAGCCCUGGCCUGGCAAACAACAAUGACAACAACAAAUAGCUGUGUUUUAUGGUGGGCACCUGUAGUCCCAGGUACUUGGGAGGCAGAGGCAAGAGAAUCGCCUAAGCCCAAGAGUUUGAGAUUGCUGAGAGUUAUGACACCACAGCACUCUACCGAGGGCGACACAGCCCACCAGAAUCCUCAGGCCAGCAGUGGAGUUUCCCACUCCCUGUGGCCAACAUAAAAGCUGUCUCAAAUUGUGCUCAGUGCAGAUGCUGUCUUUAGCUCUGCCCAAGUGGGUUUCUUUUGUUUUCAUUGAACCUGGCAUAAACCUCUC